GAGGCAGCAGUAAGGAAUUUUCCACAAUGAGCGAAAGCUUGAUGGAGCGACACAGCGUGCAGGAUGAAGUUCUUCGGAAUGUAAACUGCUGUUAUAAGGGAAGAAAAAAUAGAAUAGGAAAUGAUUUUAUCUUGACGGUACCUUAUUAGAAAGCGACGGCAAACUAUGUGCCAGCAGCCGCGGUAAUACAUAGGUCGCAAGCGUUAUCCGGAAUUAUUGGGCGUAAAGCGUCCGUAGGUUUUUU
rnacentral:rRNA from 1 species